GGAUGUUCUCCUUUGACAUGUUUCUCCUGUGCUUUCCUGCACAGCUGACAGAAAGACGACCAGCUCAAAAUGAUUAAAUAUGAAGGAUUACCUGUGAUGAAGGCUUCCAGCAUGAGCCCCAGGACCAUCUGUAUUGCAAGCAGUGCAAUAGCACUGGGACAGUCCCCGCUUGGGAACAUAGUGCCGUAACCAAUUGUGGAGCAUCAUGGUCCAGCUCCAGGUCCCCAUUCAUCUCAGCCAGCAAAUACCAAAGCACUGCAAAGACUAGCC